CGGGUAACGCACGCAAGUGUGAAACUCAAAGGAAUUGACGGGGCCCGCACAAGCGGUGGAGUAUGUGGUUUAAUUCGAAGCAACGCGAAAACCUUAUCAGGUCUUGACAUCCGAUGCAUAACCUAGAGAUAGGUGAAAUCCUUCGGGACAUCGAGACAGGUGGUGCAUGGUUGUCGUCAGCUCGUGUCGUGAGAUGUUGGGUUAAGUCCCGCAACGAGCGCAACCCUUAUCAUUAGUUGCUACGCAAGAGCACUCUAGUGAGACUGCCGUUGACAAAACGGAGGAAGGUGGGGAUGACGUCAAAUCAUCAUGCCCCUUAUGACCUGGGCUACAUACGUGCUACAAUGGUUGGUACAACGAGUUGCGAGUCGGUGACGGCGAGCUAAUCUCUUAAAGCCAAUCUCAGUUCGGAUUGUAGGCUGCAACUCGCCUACAUGAAGUCGGAAUCGCUAGUAAUCGCGGAUCAGCACGCCGCGGUGAAUACGUUCCCGGGCCUUGUACACACCGCCGGUCGACGCGGCCG
rnacentral:rRNA from 1 species